rnacentral:rRNA from 1 species
UACGUAGGGGUGCAGCGUUAUCCGGAAUUACUGGGCGUAAAGCGUGCGCAGGCGGUUGUGCAAGACCGAUGUGAAAUCCCCGGGCUUAACCUGGGAAUGGCAUUGGUGACUGCACGGCUAGAGUGUGUCAGAGGGGGGGUAGAAUUCCACGUGUAGCAGUGAAAUGCGUAGAGAUGUGGAGGAAUACCGAUGGCGAAGGCAGCCCCCUGGGAUAACACUGACGCUCAUGCACGAAAGCGUGGGGAGCAAACAGG